UACGUAGGGUGCAAGCGUUGUCCGGAAUUAUUGGGCGUAAAGAGCUCGUAGGCGGUUCGUCGCGUCGGCUGUGAAAACCCGGAGCUCAACUCCGGGCCUGCAGUCGAUACGGGCGGACUAGAGUUCGGCAGGGGAGACUGGAAUUCCUGGUGUAGCGGUGAAAUGCGCAGAUAUCAGGAAGAACACCCGUGGCUAAGGCGGCUCUCUAGUACGGUACUGACGCUGAGACGCGAAAGCGUGGGGAGCGAACAGG
rnacentral:rRNA from 1 species